ACUCAAAGGAAUUGACGGGGGCCCGCACAAGCAGCGGAGCAUGUGGUUUAAUUCGAAGCAACGCGAAGAACCUUACCUAGACUUGACAUCUCCUGAAUUACUCGUAACUGAGGAAGCCCUUCGGGGCAGGAAGACAGGUGGUGCAUGGUUGUCGUCAGCUCGUGUCGUGAGAUGUUGGGUUAAGUCCCGCAACGAGCGCAACCCUUGUCGUUAGUUGCUACCAUUAAGUUGAGCACUCUAGCGAGACUGCCGCGGUUAACGCGGAGGAAGGUGGGGAUGACGUCAAAUCAUCAUGCCCCUUAUGUCUAGGGCUACACACGUGCUACAAUGGGGAGUACAAUGAGAUGCAAUACCGCGAGGUGGAGCAAAACUAUAAAACUUCCCCCAGUUCGGAUUGCAGGCUGAAACUCGCCUGCAUGAAGCCGGAGUUGCUAGUAAUCGCGAAUCAGAAUGUCGCGGUGAAUACGUUCCCGGGCCUUGUACACACCGCCCGU
rnacentral:rRNA from 1 species